AGAGCCUUCUUCGGAAGUAAGACGACCGGUUUUCUCAAUGCGAUGCGAUCUUUGCCCGAGUCGAAGGCUACCGAAGCGAGGAAGUCAACCACCUACUACGAAGCCGGAAAACAAACGGACCUGAUUGCGCAGGCUUCACUUCGGAAUUCUUCAAUGACUCUUAAUGGUUUCGUUCUCACACCCACACCUUCUGACACUACGUACAUAAUAUAUACUAUACUUUUAUGCCUCGAGAUAUCUAUUACUUUUCAAAUGUUAUCUACUUAAACAAAUAUAUGAUUCGAUCGUAUUACAAUAUUGAGCAACACGACGA
rnacentral:lncRNA from 1 species